rnacentral:rRNA from 1 species
AAGAUUUUAAAGGUCGAACAGACCUAAACACUUGAAAUUCUACACCCAAAUUAAAUCUUAAUCCAACAUCGAGGUCGCAAACCCAUUCAUCGAUAAGAACUCUCAGAAAAGAUUACG